GGAAAGGGUGACACCAAGCAGGGAGGAUGACUAUGUCUAGCAAAGCUGUGGACAAGCAUUUGGUGACAGGGGCCUCUGCAUGGACUUAGGGAUUAGGAUCCAGUGACUGGAAGGAAAAUUAACUUAUUCCAUCUGUUCCUUAUUAAAGCACCUUUGAAUGCCCUCUGUCAUACCCCUAUAACAAUUAUUCCCUCUCUACAGUAUAAACGUGGAUAAGAUAAAAAUCAGAUUCAAAAAUAAUACAUACACAGUGUCCAUGCCUCAUCCACCAGAGAGCAUGGGCUGCAUUUUUAUCAAACAUCUCUAUACCAGCAGUUAGGACAAGAGGCAACAGCACAGCACACUGAGAGGUUUCAGAGUGGGCUGAUCUUGGAAACUGAUGUACAGCGUGACGGGAUGGAAAGACAUGAGCCCUGCAGGAAAGGCUGGUCCUCUGUGUGCAAGGUUGAUAUGGUGGGAAGUUGCUGUCUUUCUCAAAGCUGCCAGCUGAAAACCAAAUAACCCAGUGAAAAAGACAUGCAAAGCAAGUAAAACGAGAUAAUCACAAAAAAAUGGAAUAAUCAUUAAAAAUGGGGCAAUCAUAAAAAUAUUCACCUGUACCAAGCAAAUUUCUCCAGAGAAACAGAACCAAUGAGAUAAGUGUAUAAUUAGAAGAUAUUUAAGAAAUUGAGUCAAGCAAUUAUGGUAGCUAACCAGUCCAAA
rnacentral:lncRNA from 1 species